rnacentral:rRNA from 1 species
GAUGAACGCUGGCGGCGUGCCUAAUACAUGCAAGUCGAGCGAACAGACAAGGAGCUUGCUCCUUUGACGUUAGCGGCGGACGGGUGAGUAACACGUGGGUAACCUACCUAUAAGACUGGGAUAACUUCGGGAAACCGGAGCUAAUACCGGAUAAUAUUUCGAACCGCAUGGUUCGAUAGUGAAAGAUGGUUUUGCUAUCACUUAUAGAUGGACCCGCGCCGUAUUAGCUAGUUGGUAAGGUAACGGCUUACCAAGGCGACGAUACGUAGCCGACCUGAGAGGGUGAUCGGCCACACUGGAACUGAGACACGGUCCAGACUCCUACGGGAGGCAGCAGUAGGGAAUCUUCCGCAAUGGGCGAAAGCCUGACGGAGCAACGCCGCGUGAGUGAUGAAGGUCUUCGGAUCGUAAAACUCUGUUAUUAGGGAAGAACAUACGUGUAAGUAACUAUGCACGUCUUGACGGUACCUAAUCAGAAAGCCACGGCUAACUACGUGCCAGCAGCCGCGGUAAUACGUAGGUGGCAAGCGUUAUCCGGAAUUAUUGGGCGUAAAGCGCGCGUAGGCGGUUUUUUAAGUCUGAUGUGAAAGCCCACGGCUCAACCGUGGAGGGUCAUUGGAAACUGGAAAACUUGAGUGCAGAAGAGGAAAGUGGAAUUCCAUGUGUAGCGGUGAAAUGCGCAGAGAUAUGGAGGAACACCAGUGGCGAAGGCGACUUUCUGGUCUGUAACUGACGCUGAUGUGCGAAAGCGUGGGGAUCAAACAGGAUUAGAUACCCUGGUAGUCCACGCCGUAAACGAUGAGUGCUAAGUGUUAGGGGGUUUCCGCCCCUUAGUGCUGCAGCUAACGCAUUAAGCACUCCGCCUGGGGAGUACGACCGCAAGGUUGAAACUCAAAGGAAUUGACGGGGACCCGCACAAGCGGUGGAGCAUGUGGUUUAAUUCGAAGCAACGCGAAGAACCUUACCAAAUCUUGACAUCCUUUGACAACUCUAGAGAUAGAGCCUUCCCCUUCGGGGGACAAAGUGACAGGUGGUGCAUGGUUGUCGUCAGCUCGUGUCGUGAGAUGUUGGGUUAAGUCCCGCAACGAGCGCAACCCUUAAGCUUAGUUGCCAUCAUUAAGUUGGGCACUCUAAGUUGACUGCCGGUGACAAACCGGAGGAAGGUGGGGAUGACGUCAAAUCAUCAUGCCCCUUAUGAUUUGGGCUACACACGUGCUACAAUGGACAAUACAAAGGGCAGCGAAACCGCGAGGUCAAGCAAAUCCCAUAAAGUUGUUCUCAGUUCGGAUUGUAGUCUGCAACUCGACUACAUGAAGCUGGAAUCGCUAGUAAUCGUAGAUCAGCAUGCUACGGUGAAUACGUUCCCGGGUCUUGUACACACCGCCCGUCACACCACGAGAGUUUGUAACACCCGAAGCCGGUGGAGUAACCAUUUGGAGCUAGCCGUCGAAGGUGGGACAAAUGAUUGGGGUGAAGUCGUAACAAGGUAGCCGUAUCGGAAGGUGC